rnacentral:rRNA from 1 species
UACGAAGGGGGCUAGCGUUGCUCGGAAUCACUGGGCGUAAAGGGUGCGUAGGCGGGUCUUUUAAGUCAGGGGUGAAAUCCUGGAGCUCAACUCCAGAACUGCCCUUGAUACUGGCGGUCUCGAGUCCGGGAGAGGUGAGUGGAACUGCGAGUGUAGAGGUGAAAUUCGUAGAUAUUCGCAAGAACACCAGUGGCGAAGGCGGCUCACUGGCCCGGUACUGACGCUGAGGUGGCGAAAGCGUGGGGAGCAACAGG